rnacentral:rRNA from 1 species
UGGGGAAUUUUGGACAAUGGGCGAAAGCCUGAUCCAGCAAUGCCGCGUGUGUGAAGAAGGCCUUCGGGUUGUAAAGCACUUUUGUCCGGAAAGAAAUCCUCUGGGUUAAUACCUCGGGGGGAUGACGGUACCGGAAGAAUAAGCACCGGCUAACUACGUGCCAGCAGCCGCGGUAAUACGUAGGGUGCAAGCGUUAAUCGGAAUUACUGGGCGUAAAGCGUGCGCAGGCGGUUUUGUAAGACGGAUGUGAAAUCCCCGGGCUUAACCUGGGAACUGCAUUCGUGACUGCAAGGCUAGAGUAUGGCAGAGGGGGGUAGAAUUCCACGUGUAGCAGUGAAAUGCGUAGAGAUGUGGAGGAAUACCGAUGGCGAAGGCAGCCCCCUGGGCCAAUACUGACGCUCAUGCACGAAAGCGUGGGGAGCAAACAGGAUUAGAUACCCUGGUAGUCCACGCCCUAAAACGAUGUCAACUAGUUGUUGGGGAUUCAUUUCCUUAGUAACGUAGCUAACGCGUGAAGUUGACCGCCUGGGGAGUACGGUCGCAAGAUUAAAACUCAAAGGGAAUUGACGGGGUCAUAGCUGUUUCC